rnacentral:lncRNA from 1 species
CACAAAGAACAACGCCACACAGGCACACUAUAUGGGUCGACCAAUAAUACAACCAAAGGUCACCCAAUGCAACGAACGAUCGAAGAACGACGGCACGAUCUGGACAUACAAGCAGUGUAGUUGUAUUUUUCUCCUCCUCUUCUCCUUAGUUGAUGGGCAGCGGCUUGCCGUCCCACUCCUUGAGGCACUCGAGCAUGGGGUCGACGAGCUUGCCCUGGCUGAUCCCGACGAACACCUUGUUGCACUCUUCGCCGGGGGACUUGAGCUUCUCGCCGGUCAGGAACACGCACCCGAGCUCCUCGCGGACGAAGCGGUACAGCGGGAACGACCGGCUGUCCUUGAUCCGGUUCUCCACGGCGGCGGUACCCUCGGCGACGGCGACGCGGGCGGCCUCCACCUCCUGGGGCAGCACCGCGCGCAGCUCCUCCUCGAACUUGGUGAUCUUGGAGAACACGGAGGGCUCGUCGCCGCUGCUGAAGGCGUGGUCUACCAGCACGGCGCGGAGCUUCUGCAUCAGCGGGAGGCUGGCGCUGGCGGCGUCCUCGGCGUAGGUGAACACACCCUCGCGGUCGAUGGCGGUGAGGAGGUCCUUCUCGCUGAACCGCGCGCUGGAGAGCUCGCCGGCCGGGUUCAUGGUCAGCACCUUUUUCGCCACCUGGGUCACCGUGUUCUUGACCGAGGUCUUGAUGUUCUCCUCGAGGUGGCGCAGGUCGAUGGCCUGGCAGAGCGCGACGAUGUAGGUGGAGGACAUGAGCUUGAGGAUGUCGAUGGCCUCGGCGGUCUUCCUGGCCGAGACGAGGCCGAGCGAGUUCACGUCCUGGUUGUGCUGCUCCGCGCUCUGGACGUGGUUGGUGAUGGGGUUGCCGAGGUACUGGAGCUCGGAGCAGUAGGAUGCCAUGGCGAUCUCGGUGCCCUUGAACCCGUAGUCCAGGCUCGGGUUGCGGCUGCCGGCGAGGUUGGAGGUGAGGCCGUUGUUGUAGAACUCGUUGACGAGCUCGGAGAACUGCGCGAACAUGAGCUUGCCGAUGUUGGCGAUGGCGAGGCGGGCGUUGUCCAUGGACACCCCGAUGGGGGUGCCCUGGAAGUUGCCGCCGUGGAGCGCCUUGCCGCGGUGGACGUCGAUGACCGGGUUGUCGUUGACGGAGUUGACCUCGCGCUCGAUGGACUUGGUGGCGGCGCGGAUGACCUCGAUCUGCGGGCCCAGCCACUGCGGCGACGUGCGGAGCGCGUACCGGUCCUGCUUGGGCUUCAGCAGCGGGUCGAGCUCGUUCACCUUCUUGGCGUGCUUCAUGAAGGCGCUGCCCUCGAGGAUGUGCUCCAUGAUGGCGGCGGCCUCGAUGGAGCCCGGGUGGUGCUUGAGCUUGUGGGUGAGGUGGUCGGUGUACUCGGGCUUGCCGUUCAUCACCUCACAGAAGACGGCGGACAGGACCUCGGAGAGGACGGCGAGGAGGUUGGCGUCGUACAGCACGGUGGCCGCGAGCGCGGAGCCGACGGAGGUGCCGUUGACGAUGGCGAGGCCCUCCUUGGGGUUGAGCCUGAAGAACCCGCCCUCGAUUCCGGCGACCUUGAACGCCUCGGCGGCGUCCACCUUCCUGCCGUCGACGGUGACGGCCUGCGCGUUGGGGCGGCCCGUGAUGAGGCCGGCGAUGUAGGAGAGCGGCACGAGGUCGCCCGACGCCGUGAUGGUGCCGCGGAGCGGCAGGCACGGGCUCACGCCGGAGUUGAGCAGCUUGGUGAUGGCCUCGAGGAUCUCGAAGCGGAUGCCGGAGUAGCCCUGGAGGAGGGUGUUGAUGCGCACCAGCAUCGCCGCGCGGGUCACCUCCGACGGCAGCGUGUGGCCGUCGGAGCCGGCGCCGAAGAUACCGGCGUUGAGAUGCCUGCAGGGGGGACACGGGAGCGCUCAUGGUCAGUCGACGGAUCGUCUCAGAUUCUGGCCCGGCCAGCGCGGGCGCGCGCGUGCACAGAUCGCGACAAAAGCCGUUAGGUAACUGCCAAGUUGCAGGAAAACAGAAAGGAGCCCGCUGCCCGCCGGCUGAACUGUGAACACGGCCUGGCAAUUUGGAUUUGGCGACAGUGCCAUCAAGUUUGUCACCGAUGUACCUCGAGUCCUCAAGGCUGGAGUAUAUGGAUAUGGGUGACAGUCUACAAGAUCCACAGGUGAACUCGUCUCACGCGAAAACUUCCAAGAAAAAGUCUGGAUUUAGCAAGAAAAGUUAUCCAGACUGUUCCCCACAACCUACAAAGCUCGGCCAGACUGCCAAACUCCCUGCUGACUUGUCCCACGCCGGCACGCCGCCGCCGGCAGCCGCGCCGGCCUGUCGUAUUACUCCUUGCCAUGCAUUUCUAUAGGCAACAAGCCAUGCCAUCCGGCACAACCGUGCUCGGCGGCGCAGCGCAGGACCGGUAGUUACGCUUUCAGCUGGGUUUUGGGGGUUGGGAAAAAGACGUUGCAUCGACCGAACAAGUGCUCUGUGCUUUGCCCAACGCCGCGGCACCAGAUCUGGAACACUGGGCCUUCGUCACCGUUCUUAGCUACAGUGAGGUGCUCAUCUACUGCUACUACCACUGUAUAGGCAAUUCAGUAUUGAACGCGAGGAUUGAUGCUGGGUGGGUUGCUACCGUUUUUUGCAUGGAUGGUUGAAGGCUUGCAGCGGCAGCACAUGAAUGAAUCUCAGGAAUAAAAAGGCAAUGAAUGUCAGGAAUAAAAAAAAAACAUGAAUGCAUCGCAGCCUUGGCCAAGCCCCCACCCGAGCAGGGAGAAAUGGAGAAUUGACGAUGGUUUUUACCUGAGCAGCUCGACCUGGAGGGCGGGUCCAUCCUUGGUGCGGCGGUGGGAGGUGCCGCCGAACCCGGUGGUGACGCCGUAGAUGUCGCCGCCGUGGGCGAUGCAGUCGAGGAUCCACUCGCUGCUGGCCUUGACGCGGGGGCGUGCCUCCUCGUCGAGCUCGACGGCGACGCCGGACGCGUCCUUGGCCGCGGCCACGGCCGCCACCUGGCCCACACGGAGCGUGGAGCCCUCGAUCUUCACCACGGGCUGCCGGGCCUGCGCCACCAUCCGCUUCACCUCGUCCAGGUGGCUCCCGGCCAGCUCCGCCGCCGCCGCGCCCCAGUUGAGCGGGUCGUUCUCCACGAUCAGGCCGUUGCCCGCCAUUGCUUGCACUGACGGUGGUUAACUAGGGGGCCGCGGCGGCUACACAAGGAGGAGGUGGUGGUGGAGAAGAAGAGCCGGAGGAUAGGCGUGCUCUUCUUGGAGGGAAACGGCGGGGGAGGCCGCCCUUAAAUAGGGGCCCGGGCACGCCGGGGUGUGCGGGUUUAGGUGAGCGUGCGUGAGCCCUCUCUGCUCGCCUUUUGCUAGUGGGAUGGUUGGUGAAUGAUGGGUGGAUCAUCUCAGACUCAUCAGAGUAAAAAAGGUUUCUAAUUUUCUGAUCUCAUUUGUAAUCAUCUCUUUAUCUUGUGCAGUAGUGUUUCAGUGCCUUUCUCUUGGAUUUCUACCUACUACUCCUCUGAUCUCUCCUCUCUUCAGAGGAGUAUUUGAGGGGACUUUUGAGAGGUAGACAGGUAGU